rnacentral:rRNA from 1 species
UACGGAGGGGGCUAGCGUUGUUCGGAAUUACUGGGCGUAAAGCGCACGUAGGCGGCUUUGUAAGUUAGAGGUGAAAGCCCGGGGCUCAACUCCGGAAUUGCCUUUAAGACUGCAUCGCUCGAAUUGUGGAGAGGUAAGUGGAAUUUCGUGUGUAGGGGUGAAAUCCGUAAAUAUACGAAGGAACGCCAAAAGCGAAGGCAGCUCUCUGGGUCCCUACCGACGCUGGGGUGCGAAAGCAUGGGGAGCGAACAGG